AAUUUGAUGCGAACUAUCGCUUUCUCUCAAUUUCAGUCACAAAGAGAAGAAGGGCGAUCUGAUUCGCCAUCGACGAAACAUGAAACCCAUGUUUUUCAAUUUUCUAGGUAUACGCAGCUUUAUUUUAUUUUUUAUUUUUUUCUAGAUUUAAUGUUUCUUAUUCAAUGUUUGUCUUCCAAUGGAUUCUGCAAUCUUAACUUUACCUCUGUUUUAGUAACCCUGAAAUCGAACUAGAUCUAAUUUAUAUGCUGUUCAAAAGAGCUCCUUUUAUCCAUCUGAGAGAUGUUAGAACAGGAAAGGUCAAACCCUAAAUCGUGGAAUAUGGGUUUAGCUUUUGCAACUUUGUUAAAUGUCGAUUGAUAAGUACCUAAGGUUUGUUUGAACACUUGUUUUUGUUAUGAAACUUAGUAUGAAAUUUUCAGCCCUGUACAAGGAUUUUUUUCUUAGUUUAAUAAAUGAGUUUUAUAUUAUCAACUAAUUGGAAAUCAUUGUUGGGUAUAAUUUUGAAGUUAUUAUUACUAUGAAAAUUGAUAGACUUAUUAUACAUGACGUUUCGAAUUCCUCUACACAUACAUUACUUUUUUAAACUUAAAGUUCAACGUUUGUUUUGUCAAAAUCACAUUUCUCUUUUGCAAACGGGAAUUUCUAGGCUGUGCUUUCAUAUAAAUCUUAACAUGUCAGAUGUCUGAGUUUGUUCAUGCAAUAUUAGAUUGCUCUCGCUGUGCUGGAUUGCAGGUAUUUUCUGCUUCUUCAGAUGACGAACAUUGAGUUUCUACUGCCCCCUGUCUGUUCUUUAUAGAAAUUGUGGAUCUUUAUGAUUUCGAUGAGUAAAUUCAAAUAUUGGACAUUGGCUGGUUGAUGUUUGACACAUGGAUGUUUGUUGCGUGCUAUCAUCCAGUCCCUUAACAAUCAAAAGGAGUAUCUGCUUAACAUGGUUUUAUGGUAUUGGUUGUUAGAUGGUACUCACACUGCUGUCAUUAAAUAUCGUUGUUCAUGUUACUUCAUGUGUUGGAUGCCUACUAAAUAUCACGGUAGCAAAUAAGCUGUUUACUGUGAAAAAUCUAACCUUGGAAGUCAUAAUGACUCCAAGAUAAUAUGAACUUAAAAGAAUUAGGAUUUCCUUUACCUAGAAGUCCAGAUUGAUUUGAGUGAUAAAAGUUGUUCAAAUGGCUAUACAGAAUACAAUUUUCUGCUUACAUGUCUCACCAUAUUAUCAAGGAAAUAAAUGAAGUUCCAAAAAAUUGAAUAUAUAUGCUCCUAGGCAACUUGGCUAAUUGAAAACAAAUGUAGUUCUUUCUGUUAAGAAAUUUUAAUUGAAUGAUGAAACUUGAAUAAAAAAAAAUCAAGUGAAAUAUGUUGCCAUGUAGCUGGAGGCAGCUUUCAAUGGAUAAAAAUAGACAGUUGCAUUUGGGACCAUUUGGUGAGUUAUGAGUAAUACUAGCUUGGAGUUCUCCAGUUUUCCAGUUUUCCCGUAUACCUUUUUGUGUAGUCUUUAGCUUUAUGAAAAUAUCAAACUCGAGUGUAGUCCAUAACUCCAUUGCCUAUCUAGUGUCGAGCCAAAUGGAUACUAAAGUUUUAUUCUCUGACUGAGCUAUAAACAUGCAAUGGCUACAUGGUUAAGUAUAUAAAAGAAAAGUAACUAACAGUCAGAAGAAGGCCAGGUUCAAUUUCAAGACAUUGAACAAUUCUGGCUUUAGAAGUCAUAAUAAGAACAUAUACUUGCCUUCUUGUUUUGGUGACUCUUAAACUACUUUUGAAGUGCAUCAUCAACUUUAUCUACUUCAAUUUAAGGGAGUGUACACCCUCAUUUGCAUACUUUAGAGACAAACUUUAGAGGGGGAUUCUGGCGUAACGAAGCUAUAGCGAUUCCAAUGAUGGAAAACCUUUUCUUUAUAUUUCAAAGACAGAAAUAUGGAGUCCAUGAACUUUCUUUAAGUUAGUCAUA
rnacentral:lncRNA from 1 species